rnacentral:rRNA from 1 species
CAGCAGCCGCGGUAAUACGAAGGGGGCUAGCGUUGUUCGGAAUUACUGGGCGUAAAGCGCAUGUAGGCGGGUCUUUAAGUCAGGGGUGAAAUGCCAGGGCUCAACCUUGGAACUGCCUUUGAUACUGGAGAUCUUGAGUCCGGGAGAGGUGAGUGGAACUGCGAGUGUAGAGGUGAAAUUCGUAGAUAUUCGCAAGAACACCAGUGGCGAAGGCGGCUCACUGGCCCGGUACUGACGCUGAGAUGCGAAAGCGUGGGGAGCAAACAGGAUUAGAUACCCCGGUAGUCCCUGUCUCUUAUAC